GAUGAACGCUGGCGGCGUGCCUAAUACAUGCAAGUCGAGCGAACGGACGAGAAUCUGGCUUCUCUGAGGUUAGCGGCGGACGGGAGAGUAACACGUGGAUAACCUACCUAUAAGACUGGGAUAACUUCGGGAAACCGGACCUAAUGCCGGAUGAUAUUUUGAACCUCAUGGUUCAAACGUGAAAGACGGUCUUGCUGUCACUUAUAGAUGGAUACGCGCUGCAUUAGCUAGUUGGUAAGGUAACGGCUUACCAAGGCAACGAUGCAUAGCCGACCUGAGAGGGUGAUCGGCUACCCGGGAUGUGAGACUGGGUCGAGACUCCUGCGGUAGGCCGCAGUACGGAAUCUUACGGGAGGGGGGAGAGCGUGACGGUGCAAAGCCGCGUGAGUGAUGACGGUCUUCGGAUCGGAAAAUUCUGAUAUUAGGGAGAAACAAAUGUGCUUGUACCGGUGAAGAUCAUGACGGUACCUAAUGAGAAAGCCCCGGCUAACUACGUG
rnacentral:rRNA from 1 species